GGAGGCAAAGCAGACAGACCAUGUGUUUCCUAACUUAAGAUUCAACGUUUAAAAGACCAGUCCCCCCUCCCAAAAUCGCCUUACGCUUCAUCGCGAUACCAAGCACAUCCCCCUCCCUCUACAUCCUAAAACGCUUGCGUUUUAAAACGCAUUCGAGACUCCUGGAGUUUUGCAGACGACCUAGGCCUCAACUUUCUGUUUGCAACACGCCCUGCUACUUCGACCCGCACACGGCGAAAAGGAGAAAAACAAGCAGUGGUGCCCGCAUUCAGCAGGGCCCUAUUUGAAAGUUUCUAGUCCCAUCCGUGGGAAACCUCCACCCCACUCCAUUUUGCAAAUAUUCGGCGCCCCUUUCCUCCUAUCCGUUCCCAAAGCGACGGCCCGCAAGGAGCUUUACCUUUCCAAAGUGACACCAGAAACGGAGGUCUAGGCACGCACAAGGUGGGUGAGACGCCAGAUGCGCGGACAGAGAGCUUUCAUGGCAGAACCGGGCCUAUUUCUUUCCCCUCCUUUCCUCCGUCAUCGUGUCACACCGAUCAAACAUGUCUGUAUGAGAGUGAGAGUCCUAUUUGGCCGCGGUGACUUCCUGAUUCUCCGCACUGCUGAACAUACAGAGGGAAGGGAAGAAGGGGGAAAAGCCGCCCCGAUCAGCGCGAAACCUCGCCUCUUCCUCUCUCCCAGCAAGCCAGCUCAAGCACGGAGAGGCUGCCUCCAGCUGUCCUCCUACUCCUCCAGUCUCACCCAAACGCUUGGCGACCAGUAGCAAACUGCACCAUUCGCGCUGAAUCCUCCUCCUCCUCCCGCCUUCCUCCUCCUCCUCGCACUUAAUCAUCAACCAAAAAAACUUUUCCCCCCUCCCUGGCCGAACAACAAAAAAUCAUGGCGAGUGCUCAGAUUCCCUGCUCCAAUCGGGGUAUGCUACACAACACCCCCCCCGAAAAAAAGGUUGAGGGAGGGAGGUUGUGUGUGCCUGUCUAUGUAUUUACGCGCAAACGCCUUUCGAAAUAAAUAAGUGCUCGACGACAAUAUCCACCCCUCCCCGCCGGAAAGAACAUGCACGCGUGAUUAUAAUAAAAAGAAAAGACUGAGCUGCUGCAAAGGAGGGGACUGCUUUCGGCGGGGAGAAGAACGGGUAAGCCAGGCUAUUUUAGGACACGCAUCGCGACACCUUCGCAGCAGGAGAACAGAAGACCGACUGUGUCGGAAUACCAAGAUUAUUAUGAUUAUUAUUAAGACGCCAAGCUGGAAGGCAACAAGAACAGCGAUGUCUGGCAGAUCAAGAGCCGGCUUUCACCACCCCUAGCCUCUUCUGUGCGUACUGUUUCUGACAGUCAGACGGAGAUUAUCCGGAUCAUGGCCUUCCUUGGCUGGGCUGGUUAAUGCCGCUUGCCGAAGGAGGGAGCCACCCUCCCCAUCUGUAGUCACCCGUCCCUCGGCAGCAUGUCAACUCCGUGUUUGAACUAGAGGAAAGGGAGAUCACAUGCAACAAUCUCCUCCUGAAGAGAGAGAGAGAGAGAACCCAAAACGCUUCAGCUUUUGCCGUCCUCGGGGCAGGACACUGCACGAACUUCCAACCCACCAGCCGCGGCUUGUGCCGCCCCAGCAACAGCCACACGCCUAGAAUUUCCCAAGCAGAACCCUCCUGCAGAUUCCGGGAGGAAAACAGUGAGAUAUGAGAGGGGGAGGGGAGGGAUGAUCUUUCACCCAACGCCGCUCCGUAUUUAUAGCCACCAAAAUACAGCUCAGCUCAGUCAAUCAUGCGCAGGGUAAAAGAGGAGGCAAACCCAACCCUACCGAAGCAAACAAACUGCUCUUGGCGGGCUUGUAGCUUCUUGGAAUCUAUUUCUGGCUCGCUCUCUCCUUCUGUUUCUUUUCCCUGGUUUCCCGGAGUCGUCUCUCUCUCUCUCUCUCUUAAAGCAUAAAAAAAAACAAGCCCCGUGUAAGAGGAAAGCAUCCAGAGCAGCUGAUUCUGGCUUCUCCUAUCGCCUCCCUUUGUAAAUCGCUCUUGCAAAUGUGCAGCCUUUCCUCUCUCGACCUUCUCCCUGGGUUCAGCUGACUCACAAAGUCAGCGGCUGUGCUUCCCUAUGAUGAAAUGUCACGAUCCAGCAUGUUUUAUUUUCAAAAAUGAAUGGUGAUUACGAUACAAAACUUUCUUCUGGCGUGUUUUUUUUGGGGGGGGGGAGGUAUGAGAAGAAGGCGGAACGAAUAUGAAGACAGGAACUAUAGAUGGGAUUUGUUUAUAUGUUUGUGGGGCGGGGGAUGCGGCUGGCUCGGGGUAUUUUAUUUUCUUGAAAGAAAGCGGAUGUGCACAGUCAAAGGCUAAGUAAAUUACCACCCCCCUAAACCAGAGUAGCGGAGAAGGUGAAGCAAAAGAUGGAUGAAUAGGGGAGAAGGAAGGAAGGAGAAGUUGUAAGUAAUAUUUACCUGGCUGGGGAAGAGUGGUGUGCCAGAUCUCUCCUUUUCUAUAUGAGUCACUCAGAGUACAGAUCCAGCGAGAGGAACUAGAUUAUGAAUAUGACUUCAUUGAUGACAGCCAUUCCCUCCUCUUCCUAAACUCCAGCCCCGCCUCCUGGCUCGUCCCACUUUCCUUUCCCUCCGCCCUAAGCCCAACGCUACGGUUCUGGAAGAGAGAGCCUGCUACUGGCUGAGCAGAGCGAAAGCUCCCGCCCUACAGGUUGGGACGAAGGGCGGAUUCGCGGCUGUGAACUGUCACUCACGUGACAGCCACAAGAAGGAGGAGUUGCCGCUGCUCAGGAAUGUGCGGAUAGACAGAGCUGUCUGUGCGGGCAAGUGUGUAUGCCUCCUCGGUGCAACGUGUGGAUAGAGUAGCUGUGAAUGUAUUGUGCACGCUCACGCAGUACUGUUUUCUAUCUGGCACACGUGCUCCGACGCUUUUCUUGCUGGUGGAUCGCCUGGAGCUGGAAAGGCUCGUUCUUGGAAAGAGGGAGGGGGUGCGGAGAACAUUCCAGCUCAAAUCUGUCUGCCAAUCAGCUGCCCUUUCAACUUUCAAGUGCCCAUUAAUGAAGUCCUGGCACCAGCAGCCAUAUACUGUUGUUUACCAAACAUUCCCUGGGAGAAAAAGAAGAGCGAUAUGGGAGCUCUGAAAGCUAUUUUAGGAAUGCAAUCUGUAUGCUAACAAGGCUGCUACGGUGAUAGGAGGGCAGUUGAAGGUAAAUCUGGUGCUUAGGGCUAGCGCAAGAUCUCAAGAUGGUAUACAUGGUUCUCUUCUGCUCAUUUUAUCGUAACCAGGAUAACAUCAUAACCCAGGCAGUCAAAGUUUGGUGACAGUGGAAGUUGUGUCCCUUUGACUUUUCUGCAUUUCUGUGCAUGUGUGCUUGGGAUUCUGUUCUGCAGUAGGGAUAGUGAAUAUAGCAGAAAGAGCAAGGAUGAGUUUCUUUGCAUCUUCUCUACUUCCAACGGAGGCAAAGCGUGGACUAUGAAAAGGGGGCAACAAAAGUGCUGUCAUAAAUUAUACUGUCUUGAAAUAAGAGCAAAAUUAAUAAAACAGUAAAGUUGCAAUACACUAAAGAAGGGCCAGGGGCCAGGCUUGAUCAAUGGUUAUAGCUGUGUGUUUAAAUAAUAUGGGGCAUAUUUCCCUGUUUAUCAGUUACAAUUUAGCCUGCAGUCCUAACCACAUAACUGGGAGUGAGGCCCAUUGCAUUCAGUAUUCAAGGCAUUACAUUCAACAAAUUGAAUCCAUUUAGUUUUGCCACAGCCUGAUGAUUAUCAGCUUGUGGUAACAAGGAGGUGGGCUUUUUCACUGGCGGCAUCAGUGUUGUGGAAUGCCUUCCCUGUUGAAGUAAAUGAGGCUCCAUCAGUAUUGGCAUUCCACUGGCUCCGGUGAAUAAGCACCUCUUUAGGCAAGCAUUCCUACGCACUUGAACUUCUGAUUUUAUUAACUGGUUUGAUUGUUUUUAACUGUUUUGUCAUGUUUUUAAUGGGUUUGUCUUAAUAGUAUAUUUUAAUUAAGGAUAUUUUAAUAUUCUAAUUGAAUUGUAAUUUGGUAUUUUAAUUAUGUAUGUAUUUUAUAAUUGAUUUUAUGUUGUAAACUGCUUAGAAGCCAUUUUGACAUAUAAACAGUAUGUCAGAUCAAUCAAUAAAAACGGGGCUUGCUUCUCAGGAUUGUGGAUAGUCUGGAAGCAGAGUACAAAUGCAGGAGCUUUUCUCCUCUGUCUCAGCUCCCCCACUUGUAUAGGUGCCCCUUUUUAAUAUUCAUGGUGAAUCCACAGUCCCUCUGCCCUUUCUGUCUUCUGUAGAGUAAACAGCUAAGGGGUAAGCUUCCAUGCACGACAGCUUGCCUGGACUGGCCUUCAACGCUGCAGAAAUCAAACCAAAUGACCAUUUCUUUCAGUCAGAAGGAUACAGGAAAGAGGAAGGAAUAUGAAAUUAAUCUCUCAGGCAAAAUAAAAUGUUCAGCUUAUGUGAGAGUCAAAGCACUGAUUACUUUUGUUGGCUAUAAAUCAUCGUGUGAACGGAUUUUGUUUGAGGGUUAGAGGACAGUUGGAUCUUCAAUGGUUACGCUAAGCUCAAGCCACAGGAAGGCAACAGGGUUUCACUGAUGGACUCAAACGCAGCAUAUUUCAUUCUCUCAUUGGUGAGGACUAAGGAACAGGGUCCAUUGGCUUUGUCUCUGUACAGAUAUAUUCCUUUUGCAUAAAAUAUUGCACAGGCAUGGAGGAUAGCAAUAAGUAUUCUGGUCACAAAAUGACGGUGGUAAGGCGCAAUCCCUCUGAAGAGAUAAAUUAAAUAUGUAAAAUCAUAAAAUACAAUCCAAGAGAUAAAUUAUUCUUGUACUGGUUGAUCUUAGUAUAUGUAAAGAUGAAAGUAAGGUAAAUCACUUAACAUAAGGAAUACCUCAAGUUGUUAUACAAAGCAUGGGGGAGGGGAACUGGAUUUUGUCGUGUUGGACCUAAAGUAAUAAAGUAGUAAUGCCUACUGAUGUAUUUAUUAUUUAUUUUAUUUAUUAAAUUUCUAUCCCGCCCUUCCUCCCAGUAGGAACCCAGGGCGGCAAAUCAAGUAAUGCAGGGAUGCACAACUCAAAUGGCUUUGGGGACCAUUUUCUAUAUAGGGAACCAAGAAGGGGGGCAUUAUU